rnacentral:rRNA from 1 species
CUUGUACACACCGCCCGUCACACCAUGGGAGUGGGGGAUACCAGAAGUGGCUAGGAUAACCUUCGGGAGUCCGGUUACCACGGUAUGCUUCAUGACUGGGGUG